AAAAGUACGUGAAAUUGUUGAAAGGGAAGCGCUUGCAACCAGACCUGUCCGUAGGUGAUCAGCCGCUGUUCUCAGCGGUGCACUCGCUCUGCGAUCAGGCCAGCAUCGGUUCCGGCGGUCGGAUAAAGGCCUUGGGAAUGUAGCUCCUCUCGGGGAGUCUUAUAGCCCUCGGUGCAAUGCGGCCAGCCGGGACCGAGGACCGCGCUUCGGCUAGGAUGCUGGCGUAAUGGUUGUAAGCGACCCGUCUUGAAACACGGACCAAGGAGUCUAACAUCAAUGCGAGUGUUUGGGUGUUAAACCCAUGCGCGGAAUGAAAGUGAACGGAGGUGAGAACCCGUUAGGGCGCAUCAUCGACCGAUCCAGAUGUCUUCGGAUGGAUUUGAGUAUGAGCAUUGCUGUUGGGACCCGAAAGAUGGUGAACUAUGCCUGAAUAGGGUGAAGCCAGAGGAAACUCUGGUGGAGGCUCGCAGCGGUUCUGACGUGCAAAUCGAUCGUCAAAUUUGGGUAUAGGGGCGAAAGACUAAUC
rnacentral:rRNA from 1 species